rnacentral:rRNA from 1 species
AGCAGUAGCCGCGGUAAUACGUAGGUGGCAAGCGUUGUCCGGAAUUAUUGGGCGUAAAGGGCUCGCAAGCGGUUUCUUAAGUCUGAUGUGAAAGCCCCCGGCUCAACCGGGGAGGGUCAUUGGAAACUGGGAAACUUGAGUGCAGAAGAGGAGAGUGGAAUUCCACGUGUAGCGGUGAAAUGCGUAGAGAUGUGGAGGAACACCAGUGGCGAAGGCGACUCUCUGGUCUGUAACUGACGCUGAGGAGCGAAAGCGUGGGGAGCGAACAGGAUUAGAUACCCCCGUAGUCCCUGUCUCUUAUAC